UUUUUUUUUUUUUUUUUUUUUUUUUUUUUUUUUUUUUUUC
rnacentral:ribozyme from 1 species